GCUGAAGUGAUGCAGCGGGCUAGCUGAAUGGGCAAAUCUUGGUACACAUGCAGAUAGCAUGUCAGCAAAAGUUACUACCUUGAACUAAUUAAUUUUUACCUUGCAUCAUAGAUUUUCACUCUCAUGAAGUCAAGGAAAACAUUAAAGAUGAAAGAGGAGGAAGAGGAAGAGGAGGGGAAAAACAACAAUAAAACUACAAAAGUACCAAGAGGAGAAGAACAAGAAUAGGAAGAAGAAAAAGAACGAGGAGGGGAAGAUGGAAAAGAUGAUGAUGGGGCCUAACGGAAGGAGUUAAAACCAUGUGGAACAGGAAACUGUAUAUGUCAUUCCCAUUGUUCUGUCUAAAACUGUAAUUAACC
rnacentral:lncRNA from 1 species